UAUGGAAGGUCCGGGCGUUAUCCGGAUUUAUUGGGUUUAAAGGGAGCGUAGGCCGGCUUUUAAGUCAGCUGUGAAAGUCCGCGGCUCAACCGUGGAAUUGCAGUUGAAACUGGGGGGCUUGAGUAUGUUUGAGGCAGGCGGAAUGCGUGGUGUAGCGGUGAAAUGCAUAGAUAUCACGCAGAACUCCGAUUGCGAAGGCAGCAUACCGGCGCCCAACUGACGCUGAAGCACGAAAGCGUGGGUAUCGAACAGG
rnacentral:rRNA from 1 species